rnacentral:misc_RNA from 1 species
UGCUCGGUCUUUGAGCCGAACGGGUGGCUUCAAGUUGGGAUGGCUUCGGGGAUGACGUCCGUAAAGGUGCAUGAGUGGUGUUUGGUUUGUUACGUGUGGUUGGCUGCUGGGAUCCCAUCAACUUCCAUGCUUUCAAACUCUUCAGUUAUGCGGCAAGGCUUGUAUCGCCUUGAGCGUGUUGCGGGUUUACUGUGUUGAAUACCUGAUCAACGGUAUCGGUUGGAUAGAUCAAAGUUUCAUUUCGUCUUGCGUUGCAUUUGCGGCGUGAGGUGAACCGUGAUGCGGUCUCUUUGAUCCACCUUGUUGAAGGAAUGUUUCAACAUUGUGGCACAUUGAGCAUUGCUUGGUCUCUUGUAUACGGAACAUAUAGUGGGCAUGGAUCUAACGAUUCUUGUUUGCCCUCUUAUUAGCGUUCUCGCUUCUCUAAAACGACUUGUGCUACGUGUUGGCUUGUCCAUUCGUAGUGCUA